CAGCAGUAAGGAAUAUUGCACAAUGGGCGCAAGCCUGAUGCAGCAACGCCGCGUGCCCGAUGAAGGCCUUCGGGUUGUAAAGGGCUUUUCUGGCUGAAGAGGAAGGACAGUAAGCCAGGAACAAGUGUCGGCUAACUACGUGCCAGCAGCCGCGGUAAAACGUAGGACGCAAGCGUUAUCCGGAUUUACUGGGCGUAAAGCGCGGGCAGGCGGGGGUCCAAGUGAGGCGUGAAAGCUCCUGGCUCAACCGGGAGAGGCCGCAUCGGACUGGAUCGCUGGAGGGCAGCAGAGGGGCGUGGAAUUCCGGGUGGAGUGGUGAAAUGCGUAGAGAUCCGGAGGAACACCAGAAGCGAAGGCGGCGCCCUGGGCUGACCCUGACGCUGAGCCGCGAAGGCGUGGGGAGCGAACGGGAUUAGA
rnacentral:rRNA from 1 species